rnacentral:rRNA from 1 species
CGGACGGGUGAGUAACGCGUAGGUAUCUAUCCUUGGGUGGGGGGACAACGGUUGGAAACGACUGCUAAUACCGCAUGAAGACUGAGGUCUAAAGCUCGCGAGAGCGCCUGAGGAGGAGCCUGCGUACGAUUAGCUAGUUGGUGGGGUAAAGGCCUACCAAGGCGACGAUCGUUAGCUGGUCUGAGAGGAUGAUCAGCCACAUCGGGACUGAGACACGGCCCAA